rfam:Gossypium raimondii Chr06_contig_397, whole genome shotgun sequence.
GGGUGCGAUCAUACCAACACUAAUGCACCGGAUCCCAUCAGAACUAUGCUGUUAAGCGUGCUUGGGAGAGAGUAGUAGUAGGAUGGGUGACUCCUGGGAAGUCCUCGUGUUGCACCCC